CCGAGAAAUUGUGUAUUAUCUUGACUCGUUAGGAAAUGAUUGGACAACAUACCCGGAUAUGAAGGUCCUAAUUGACACCGUCCUACAAGCUUUUCGGGCCCAACGAGAUAUCCAAACCUCAAGGAGGGGCGCCAACUCCAUUACAUGGAUUAAAGUGGCGGUAUAUUUUUAAUUACCACAUUUUUUAUUAUAUUAGUGAUGACACUUGAUAAAACUUAGGAUUUAUAAUCCAUAUUUUUUUUCAUAUGUAGUGUCCUCAACAACGUAAUCAAAUAGAUUGCGGGUAUUUCAUGUUGAGGUUUAUGCGAGAUACUCUUGCUUUGGGCCGAUUAAAGAUUCCCACCGAUUACUUUGAUGAAUUCAAGUGUGCAUUUUAUACAAAGGAUCAAGUGGACGAAAUCAAAGAGGAGUGGUGUCAAUUCAUGAUAAAGCUGUGUAAUUAAUGUGUACAUUUGUAGUAUAUGUUAUGACUUGUAAAUGUGUACAUAAAUUUGUAUAUAUUUUGAUACAUUUAAGGCAAAAUUGGUUUGAA